rnacentral:rRNA from 1 species
AUGGGCGUAGAAGACCAUAGACUUGUAUUCGCUUGCCUCUAUGAAUCCAAGUCUGGUGUGUGGGGAAAUGUUACCUCAACACGGACCACAGGAGGGUUGGUUUUUCCGAUAAGGCCCAGCGUCCUUGUCGGGAAUGCACUUUGCUGGUUGCUUUAUGGGGAAACUGAAGGUGACAUCCUUGAGUUUGAUUUUGCAAUGCAAAAGCUUGUUGUGAUUGAGAAGCCACUAGAUUGCGAGAUUGCCUACCGUGGCCGUCCCCGCCUCCGAAUCGUGCGGACAGAGGAGAGAGGUCUUGGACUCAUCGGUUACACAGGACUGAGCCUGCAGUUAUGGGAGCGGAAGGACAAUUAUGAUGAUGUUGCUACAUGGAUCCUUCAGAAAACCAUUGAUCUGCUCGAGCACCUUUCGCCCGUCGAGCUCAAAUGGAGUUGGAUACAUGGGUACGAUGAGGAUCACAGUGUGCUAUUUCUUUGCGCACUUAAUGGUUCUUUAAUGAUCCAGCUUGACUCAAUACAGUUCGGUAACUGUUUUCGGACCAAUCUCGACGGCACCACACCUCCAGAAAGAAAAGAUAUCAACACCACCUACAUUCCCUACAAAAGUUUUUAUGCCGCAGGUAAUAGCCGGUUCUUACAUUGCAAGAAUGUCGGUUACGUCUUCACUCCCACGCUGGACUCGCCCGACCGCAUCCCGGCCGCGCGUUUCUCCCUGCCGCAGCGCUGCCGCGACGAGGGGUUGGACUUGGACUUCGUGGAAUGCCAUCACGGCCUCGCCCUUUUCCUCAACAAGAAACAACCCGAGGCCGUCGUGUGGAACCCCAUCUCCGGUCGCCAGCACCGAGUAGCUUUUCCACCAGAGUUCGGCAACGCUAGAGAGAGGGAGAUCCUAUGCGCGGCGGUGCUCUGCGCUGCUGGUGAUGACGACCCUGGCCAUGUGCACGGUGAUUGUGGCUUGAGCUCUUUUAAAUUGGCUUUGGUGCGAGGUGGCCAAGACCACGCAAGUCUAUCUGUGUGCCUCUACAAAUCCAGGUCUGGCCUAUGGGGAAAUGUUAUCUCAACGACUAAAGACUGGUAA